UAUAUUCGAACAACUGAUGCUAACGAUAGUGAUGGUUACACUGCAAAUACCGAUCCAUUGUACGUAUCAAAGGAUGGUACACUAUGGCAGUCAGAUCCAUUUCAGCCGCAAAGUGGUAGAUUUAGGAAUGAGAAUGUUAUCAGUCUUUCGCCUGGCGUCACUCGAUUUGCAAAAGCCCGUGUCAACGACAUAAAAGAUGCUUUUCUCCUAUUUUUGCCUCCACAUCUAGAAAACAUAAUUCCAAAGCAUACAAAUGCAUUUGACAAAGCUAAGUAUGGCGACGAAUUCAUGCGAAUUGAUUCCAGUCUGUUGCAAGCUUAUAUCGGUAUAUUGAUUUUAACUGGUGUAUAUAGAUCAAAAAACGAGUCAACGGUUGAUUUGUUCGAUGCAGAGUAUGGUCGUCCCAUAUUUAGGGUUAUUAUGUCAAAAAAGACGUUUGAAUAUAUCAAUCAAGUAAUUCGAUUUGAUGAUACCAUCAGCCGGAGGCAAAAAACAUGUGACGAUAAAUUUGCACCGAUCCGAGAUGUUUUUGAAAAAUGGUCGAAUUCAUUAGCUGAUUAUUACAACCCUCAUGAAUGAGUUACCGUAGAUGAACAGCUGCUGGGUUUUAGGGGUCGAUGCAAAUUUCGUCAAUAUAUGCCUUCGAAAUCAGAGAAAUGAGGAAUUAAGUUUUGGUUGUGCGUCUGUUCUGAGGGUUGCUAUAUUUGGAAAAUUCAGCCCUACUUGGGUAAACCAGUCGGUGCAAGCUCAUGUGAAAAAAAUCAGUGUCAACGUGUUGUUUUGGAUUUGUCUCGGCCAGGAAUUGCUAACAAAAAGUGUCACGAUGGUGGGAACUAUGAGGAAAAAUAAGAGAUCUAUUCCGCCAAAUCUUCUCAAACGCAAAAAACUACCUUUGUACCAUUCAACGUUUGCAUUCACAAAUCGAGCCCGGAGUUAAAAAGCUACCAACAAUUAUAAAUUAUUAUAACAAAACUAAAGGUUUGUUAUAGAUGAGUUCCGAUUUAUUUGUUUAUAUUCGUCUAUUUGCUUGUUUCAUUCAAAAUAGGCGGUGUCGAUACGGUUGAUAAGAUGCUUUCCUGCCACAGUUGCAGGAGGAAAACUAAUAGAUGGCCGAUGGCUGUGUUUGCUAAUAUAAUUGACAUAUCGGCUUUGAAUGCAUUAAUCAUUUUCAAGGAAAUUAAUCCUAACUGGCAGGCUACACAAAAAACCACAAUAAGAAAGAACUUUCUACGGGAGCUAGGAUUAUCACUUGCUAGACCAUUUAUGACAUGUAGAACUUGAAAGCCGAGGUCAAGUUCAUCCGCGAAUUUGCUCGAUAUGGCAUCUUCACCAAAUGCAUCGAAAAGAUCAAAAAGCGUUCCUCCACAAAUUAAAGGAAGGCAAAGAUGUGCGAUGUGUUUGGAAAGUAAUUUUGCUUCAAAAAAUAACAUGCAUACUACAAUUUGUUGCUUUUGUUCAAAAGGUACAUGCAAAAACAUACACAACCGAAACGUAUGCGUCAGGUGCAUAAAAAAUAAGUUAAUUUAAGUUUGGAAAAAAAUUAAAACAGUAUUUUCUCGGUUAAGCUAAUAAAAACGACAAAAAUAAUGUUGGUUUUCGCCGUCCAAUUUUCCACUAAAAACAAUGGGAAGUACAUAUGCGUCGAAAACGACGCAUGAGGGUAGACAAUGUAAGUUAUUUUUAGGAGCAGAUGAAGGUUUAAACUUAAAACUAAGAAUUAGGAAUUCAGUUGAAACUAAAAUUCCAAGAAUAACUUUUGCAUGCAAAAAGAUACAGUCCUGGGUGGUAAGCUAUCUUUUGAUAUAUAUAAAUUGGUUAACCGUUC
rnacentral:misc_RNA from 1 species